rnacentral:rRNA from 1 species
AGAGUUUGAUCCUGGCUCAGGAUGAACGCUAGCUACAGGCUUAACACAUGCAAGUCGAGGGGCAGCAUGGAAGAAGCUUGCUUCUUCUGAUGGCGACCGGCGCACGGGUGCGUAACGCGUAUCAAACCUGCCUCAUACUCGGGGAUAGCCUUGCGAAAGUAAGAUUAAUACCCGAUGUUGUUAUAUUUCCGCAUGGUGAUAUAACCAAAGAUUUAUCGGUAUGAGAUGGUGAUGCGUCCGAUUAGGUAGUAGGCGGGGUAACGGCCCACCUAGCCAUCGAUCGGUAGGGGUUCUGAGAGGAAGGUCCCCCACACUGGAACUGAGACACGGUCCAGACUCCUACGGGAGGCAGCAGUGAGGAAUAUUGGUCAAUGGACGGAAGUCUGAACCAGCCAAGUAGCGUGCAGGAUGACGGCCCUAUGGGUUGUAAACUGCUUUUGUAUGGGGAUAAAGUUAGGGACGUGUCCCUAUUUGCAGGUACCAUACGAAUAAGGACCGGCUAAUUCCGUGCCAGCAGCCGCGGUAAUACGGAAGGUCCAGGCGUUAUCCGGAUUUAUUGGGUUUAAAGGGAGCGUAGGCGGAUUAUUAAGUCAGUGGUGAAAGACGGUGGCUCAACCAUCGUUAGCCAUUGAAACUGGUAGUCUUGAGUGCAGACAGGGAUGCUGGAACUCGUGGUGUAGCGGUGAAAUGCUUAGAUAUCACGAUGAACUCCGAUCGCGAAGGCAGGUGUCCGGGCUGCAACUGACGCUGAGGCUCGAAAGUGUGGGUAUCAAACAGGAUUAGAUACCCUGGUAGUCCACACAGUAAACGAUGUAUACUCGCGGUUUGCGAUAUAGUGUAAGCCGCCAAGCGAAAGCAUUAAGUAUACCACCUGGGGAGUACGCCGGCAACGGUGAAACUCAAAGGAAUUGACGGGGGCCCG